rnacentral:lncRNA from 1 species
GGUAAAUAAGUGUAACCUUAACAUUGUAAAUCGAUUUGGAGAAAAGCAUCAGCUAAGUGUGUUGUGUUUUUUUCAAUGCAAAUAUAUAGCUCACAUUUGUAUUAUUUCGUUUGUCCCGUCAGUACAGUAACGGGCAGUGCAGUGAAAGGAAAUGCGAUGCAAUUCCCGGCGCUUCCACCAGGUGGCAGAGCGAAACUAUGGAUCCGACAAUGUCUCUGUCAGCCUUCGGGAAGGGGAAAAAUAUAGACGUAUGUAAUCAGAUUGGAGGUGCUGGGUUCAGCCCAAUACGCAAGAGGUGCUGAGACUACGGAACCCCCAGGAACCCAUCCGGACCACAUUUCCCCUACGUCCCCAGUCAGACGACAGGCUGGACAGUAGACGCCGAGGGUGCGUGAACUCACGUUAAAGUGUGACGGUGAGGGGUUCCGAUCAGACACAGAUAUGAACACUUUGUACAGACUGUGCCGGGCA